rnacentral:rRNA from 1 species
GACGAACGCUGGCGGCGUGCUUAACACAUGCAAGUCGAACGAAGUGGCGAACGGGUGAGUAACGCGUAAUCAACCUGCCCUUCAGAGGGGGACAACAGUUGGAAACGACUGCUAAUACCGCAUACUGAAGGAGGGGUUUGCGUCUGAUUAGCUAGUUGGAGGGGUAAUGGCCCACCAAGGCGAUGAUCAGUAGCCGGUCUGAGGGGAUGGACGACCACAUUGGGACUGGGGCACGGGCCAGGUUCCUACGGGAGGCAGCAGUGGGGGAUCUUCCGCAAUGGACGAAAGUCUGACGGAGCAACGCCGCGUGAGUGGUGACGGCCUUCGGGUUGUAAAGCUCUGUUAAUCGGGACGCGGUACCGGAAUAGAAAGCCACGGCUAACUACGUGCCAGCCGCCGCGGUAAUUC